rnacentral:tRNA from 1 species
GCGGACGUCGUAUAGCGGCUAUUACUUUAGGUUUCCAACCUAAUAACAGGGGUUCGAUUCCCCUCGUCCGCU